rnacentral:rRNA from 1 species
AAAGGUAAGCUACUAAGAGCGAAUGGUGGAUGCCUUGACUGGUAAAGGCGAUGAAGGACGUACUAGACUGCGAUAAGCUACGGGGAGCUGUCAAGAAGCUUUGAUCCGUAGAUUUCCGAAUGGGGCAACCCAAUGUAUAGAGAUAUACAUUACCUAUAUAGGAGCGAACGAGGGGAAUUGAA